GGCGAAUUUUGGCAUCUGAGGUCAUGUUCAUGAUGAAUCUGUCAGAGAGUGCCAUGCUUGUCCACCCAACCAAGAAUUCGAUGCAGUUGUUUGAAUCCCUGAAAGGAAAAUAUGUUUAUGUGAAUGGACAGUCUGUGUACACUAGUCUAAGGUCAUCGGGGAUGUUCUCCAAACAAUUAUUUCUUCAUCUGUAUAGAUUUGCUCUAAACUCAUGCACUUAUGAGACCCUGUUUACCAGCUGGGCCAACUUUCACAAUACCAUGAGAAAAAAAUGGAAAAAGGGAACUACAUCAGAGGAUUUUCUAGCAUCAUCAUAUGCUUCUUGGGUAGCAACACUUAAAUUAACCCUGGAGAGGCUGGCAUUACCACUAAUCAAUCAACUGCAAUAUUCCAGAAACCUCAUUUCUUAUGAGAGAUACAUAGACUGGGUAACAACCCUCGGGGUGGUCCCAGUAGCACAGGUUCCUGAAAACAAAACAACAAUCCAACAUUUGGAGGACAACUUAAAGGUACUAGUGAACACCUCAGGCCCUGGUGACAAAGUCAUAACUGAAAUGAUCUCUAGCCUGAUACAGGAGAUGAAAGUGAUCCUCAAAACAUUAAGUUCACUGUACAUACCUGAUUACUCAGAAGUCUCAAUACAUAAAAAUUUGGAAUCUGGUGAGUGGUUUGGAAUAUACAAAUCCAAGAGAAUACCAGUAGAAGUAAUGGCCGCUCCAGUUCUUUGUAAAGAAGGAUAUAUGUUUGACAGCUGUGUCCAAAGGGUCUUUCCCACUGUUAUGCAGUGUUACCGGACGCAGGAACAUGCAAAACUCUGCCAACUGCUAAACACCAUUCCUGUUAAAACAAUUGUGGGAAACGCGCAAUCUCCUGGUUACAAGGAUAUCCUGGAACAUUUGGAAAAGUCCAACAGCAAAACAGACCCUAAAAAGGAACUGUUGAACCUUUUAAUUAAUUUGGCAGAGAAUAAAACAGUCUCUGGAGUCACUGACGUGGUUGAAGAUUUUAUCAGUGAUGUGUCAAACAAUUUAAUUGAUAGGAAUAAACUUUUUGGCAACAGCAAUGAAACCACGUGUGCUGGAUUAAAAAAACAGGUCUCCAACUCUGUUUUCAAAUGCUUGACUAAGCAGAUAAAUGAGCAAUUUGACACAAUAGCUGACCUUAAAAAGGAACGAGAGCUGUAUCUGGCAAGACUCCAGACGGUUGAGUCACACCUACUAAGAAUAGCACGCAACGAAAAGAGUAUUCAUGAUGUGGAUGUUAACCUUCUCACUGCAGACACUAUGGAAAGUCUCUCUGAGGUGAGAGACUUGAAUUUGUUGUCCUCAACAACUGAAGUGCCUAAUGGAAAAAGUGUUCUAAAUAGCUUUUUUUCUCAGUAUGUUCCCCCCUUUAGAGAGCUUGGAAAAGAUCUAGCAAACCUCUGGGAGAGUGAGUUAAUGAGUACCUUCAAACUUGUUCCCGAGGUGGAUCCCCAAGGAAAGAUGAUAUGUGUUAGGUACACCCCAGACACUGUUUCACUUUUACUUGGACCAUUCACUUAUGUAAUAACCAAGCUUACAAGCAUGGAUUUGAUCAGAGAUGAUAUGACAUCACAAUCUGUCCAUGGAUUGGUUGAUAUAGUGUACAAGGAGAGCAGACUGUUAGUCUAUAUAACUGACAUUGGCUCCAAGUUGGGCACAGAAGUCCAAUUAUCCACGGACGGAGUAGAGGUGCUGCCACCAUGAUCUCUUCAAACAUUAGAGAAGCAAGAACUGUCAUCCUUCCCAGGCUGAUGUUGGAAAUAACAUCCAAUGGGACUCUUACUGUGGCCUCACAUACUCCAAUUUUUCAGAAAUUAUCUCUCCUGGAUCUACCCAGCCUCACCGCUCAUCUGAAAACCAAGCUAUCAGGAUCAAUGUUUAAAGGCUUUCUUUUUGCCACAUUGUGUGAAACAGAGGAUCAUGUCACGACCUUGGAUAUGCAUCCACACGUUUUUGAGAAAAGGCUGGUUUUAUACAACCCCAGAAAUACCUGUAACAAGGAGCUAUGUGCACUGAUUUCCAUGGUGGAAAACUUAAUGGAUUGUGACCCCAAAUUGCCUUUGUCUAUUUAUAUGAGGGGGAAAAGAUUGUUUCAGAAGAAUCCCGGUAAAGAUUCCUGUUUUCUCUUUAAGGGAUUGUCUACUUUGAUAUCCACCCACUUUGCUGUUUAUCACCCAAAUUUCACAGUCAAUGAUGAAUUACUACUGCCUCCCCUCUUGGCCUACAAGAUGCAUUCAACCAUUGAGGGAAUUGAUGAAGUAUCCAAGGGACUCCUGAAAGCAAUUUACCUGGACUCUUACAGAAUGGACAAUAACAUAGAUGAUUUUCAAAACCCAGCGGGGACAUUCACACUUCUGUGCUUGCCCACCAUUUUUACUAAACACCUCACUGUCCCAAAUGUUCUAAUCCUGAUAAAACGCGCAGGGUUGAUGUAUGAGGCCAUAGACAACAUUAUUUUAUGAUAAAUUUAAUAAAGUUUCAUAAUUUGACAAU
rnacentral:tmRNA from 1 species